GAAGUCUUCACAUUUAGAAAGAGAGAGUACUCUCAAAGUCAUUCAAAAGUUCGUUUUUGUUGACAUCGUUUAACUACCUUCACAGUAUAGAUGACGCCAUUCCCGUUCCAGUUUGCACCAGUCAGACACGAGACCGUAUCGUCCUCGUUAAUUACAGAUUUUCAAGAGUUCUACGAGUUAGAAUAGCAGAGCCCCGAGGUGUAUAAAGUCAGUGUUAGCGAAUAAUACAUCCGUCAAGUAAAUUAUUUUUUAAGGAUUUGUUCAAUAAUU